rnacentral:rRNA from 1 species
UACGUAGGGCGCAAGCGUUGUCCGGAAUUAUUGGGCGUAAAGAGCUCGUAGGCGGUCUGUCGCGUCUGCUGUGAAAACCUAAGGCUCAACCUUGGGCUUGCAGUGGGUACGGGCAGACUAGAGUGCGGUAGGGGUGACUGGAAUUCCUGGUGUAGCGGUGGAAUGCGCAGAUAUCAGGAGGAACACCGAUGGCGAAGGCAGGUCACUGGGCCGCAACUGACGCUGGAGGAGCGGAAAAGCAUGGGGAGCGAACAGG